GAUUGAACUGUUUCUGAAAUCCUGUCAGGAGAGUGGAGUAUUUGAAAAAACUGGGAAACCAGAAAGAGGUUGAGAACUGUCGUGAUGUUAAUGAGGAGCUCCUUCAAGCCAUUGAAAAAUACACAGAGGGGAAAAGCUUUUCUGAAUGGAAGACUAAAUUGCCAUCUGAGAUUGUCCAGAAACUGGACGGUAAGAAGAAAGGCUAUCCUGAGAACACACUGGGCCUGCUGCGAUUUAUACGUAACCUGCACGAGCAUUAUCCAGAGGACGCGGAGAGCAUCAGCCUGAUGGCUUCAUUCCCUGAUCUGUUUGGGAGUGUGUUCAUGUUUGCAAAGAAGAGAGGAUGGAACUCCAGAACGAGUCUGAAAAAGUUCUUCAGCUCAGCUCCACAGAUCUAAUUGAUGUAUUUUUUCGGUUUAAACUAUGUACA